CUUCCAUUUGCUGCGGACAGAUGUAAUGGAUAUGGUUAUCUAUACCUCCAGCUGUUAUGAUCAUUCCUUCUCCAGCUAUCACUUCAGUUGUUGCACCUACAAUCAUAUCAAGGUCAACUCCCUCCAUGAUAUGAGGAUUGCCACCUUUUCCAAUAGCCUUAAUAUAUCCGUUUUUUAUUCCGAUAUCAGCUUUAUAAAUUCCUGUAUAGUCAAUUAUCAGAGCAUUGGUAAUAAUCAAAUCAAGUACCUCAGAAGAAUUAUAACCAGAAGCCUGUCCCAUACCAUCCCGAAG
rnacentral:sRNA from 1 species